rnacentral:rRNA from 1 species
UACAGAGGGGGGCAAGCGUUGUCCGGACUGACUGGGCGUAAAGCGCACGCAGGCGGUUGUGGGCGUCGGUGCUGAAAAGUCCACUGCUUUAACAGUGGGAGUGCGUGCCGAUACGCCAUAACUGGAGCGAUGCAGAGGCCAGUGGAAUUGCCGGUGUAGUGGUGAAAUGCGUAGAGAUCGGCAGGAACACCCAAGGGGAAGCCAGCUGGCUGGGCAUUUGCUGACGCUCAUGUGCGACAGCGUGGGGAGCGAACUGG